GAUGAACGCUGGCGGCGUGCCUAAUACAUGCAAGUCGAGCGAACGGACGAGAAGCUUGCUUUUCUGAUGUUAGCGGCGGACGGGUGAGUAACACGUGGAUAACCUACCUAUAAGACUGGGAUAACUUCGGGAAACCGGAGCUAAUACCGGAUAAUAUUUUGAACCGCAUGGUUCAAAAGUGAAAGACGGUCUUGCUGUCACUUAUAGAUGGAUCCGCGCUGCAUUAGCUAGUUGGUAAGGUAACGGCUUACCAAGGCAACGAUGCAUAGCCGACCUGAGAGGGUGAUCGGCCACACUGGAACUGAGACACGGUCCAGACUCCUGCGGGAGGCAGCAGUAGGGAAUCUUCCGCAAUGGGCGAAAGCCUGACGGAGCAACGCCGCGUGAGUGAUGAAGGUCUUCGGAUCGUAAAACUCUGUUAUUAGGGAAGAACAUAUGUGUAAGUAACUGUGCACAUCUUGACGGUACCUAAUCAGUAAGCCACGGCUAACUACGUG
rnacentral:rRNA from 1 species